CCUACGGGAGGCUGCAGUGGGGAAUAUUGGACAAUGGGGGAAACCCUGAUCCAGCGACGCCGCGUGAGUGAAGAAGUAUUUCGGUACGUAAAGCCCUAUCAGCAGGAAAGAAAGUGACGGUACGUGACUAAGAAGCCCCGGCUAACUACGUGCCAGCAGCCGCGGUCAUACGUAGGGGGCAAGCGUUAUCCGGAUUUACUGGGUGUAAAGGGAGCGUAGACGGCAGCGCAAGUCUGGAGGGAAAUGCCGGGGCCCAACCCCGGAACUGCUCUGGAAACUGGGAAGCUGGAGUGCAGGAGAGGUAAGCGGAAUUCGUGGUGUAGCGGUGAAAUGCAUAGAUAUCAGGAGGAACACCGGCGGCGAAGGCGGCUUACUGGACUGUAACUGACGUUGAGGCUCGAAGGCGUGGGGAGCAAACAGGAUUAGAUACCCCUGUAGUC
rnacentral:rRNA from 1 species